AUGUAAUUUCUCCCGGCGUGAGUACUGUUAAAACUGCGAAAGCCACAUCUCUGGACUGUGUUUUUCAUGGGUAGGCCCGCGCAGUUAGUCAAGCCGGUCCGCCUCUCUUCGUAGGGCUGGGUCAAACGAUAUUGGGCUGGCCUACUUGCGAGUGGUUUGAUGGAAUUUGGACCCGUAACCUUCUCCGGAACUAAGUCUCGUCCAGGGAAGCCCGGCGGUCACCGGGCACUAUGCAUGGGAACAAGUAAAAUUUUUUUAAGAAACGUCAAAACAAUCAAUUCAAGCGGAAAGGGUCUAUAGAAGAGGAAAAUGGAACAAUUUUAGACCUGAAGAAUCUUCAGGGAAUUCGCUUCCUGUUGAUACUGUUUAUCAAAUGCUCUAUCCUUAAGGAAAAAUUAGGGUGUUUACUGUUUAGUAUUAUUGGGAAGGGUGGAAGCAUAAUUAAAGCCCUAAGGGAAGAGAAAAAGCCAAGAUUAUGGUUGCUGAUUUAGUUCCUGGUUCAGAUGAAAGAGUAAUUAUUAUUUGUAGUUCUCCUGAAAAUAAUUCAAGGAACCAUAACAGUGAUGAGGAUUCAGCUAUAGAGAAUGAACAGGAUACCAUAGAGCCUCAUUGUGCUUCUCAGGAUGCUCUUAUGAAAGUUCACGAAAGGAUUCUUGAUGAAGAUUUUUUUGGUGGAAUGACAUCUGAUUAUAAUAAUGAGCUGUAUUGUCACAGCACGACUUUUAGUUCCAAAUAAUAUGGUUGGAUGUCUUUUAGGCAAACGUGGAAUUGCCAUCUAAAGAUUGCGAGUCUUACUUCAGAUCAUCUUCCCUGUUGUGCUAUGAGCAUUGAUGAAUUGGUAAAGUUGCUGGAACAAGGACAAAGCUACGAGAUCCUCCGACUGUGGCCCUGAAAAUUUUGUUGAAUCCCGUCGAUCUUCUGAGUGUCUGAAUGCUGCACAAAGCUUUCUCCAAACCUUUGUGGCUUCUUCUGGUCGGUACAUGAAUGCCCAACAAGGUUCCUACCAAAACAACACAACUGCAUAGCAAAGCUCCUACCAGAAUGUGAAUUCUCAGCAGAGCACCUAUCAAAACAUGUAUGGUCUGCAUAUCCUAUAUCAGAGCAUGAAUGUGCAGCAGCAGAGGCCCUAUUCCUCGACUGCUCAGCAAGGUGUCUACAUGAAUGCCAUUGCUGCUCAGGCUACCUACCAAAACACUAGUUCGCAGCAGGGCACGUAUCACUACUGAUUGCAAUUUGUGAAUUUUUGUAACCAUACUUUUCUUUCAGAUUCUUAAUUACAAUGGCGGAUCAGCCUGCCUAAGGGACAGGAUAAAGUAAAGGUCAUUUAGUGCGAGACUUUCUCCUAGGCUCUUUGAGGUGGUGAAGGAAAAUUUGUGGCUGAGCCAUGCUUGUGCAAAUUGUUUAACAUCUCAUCAAAGUAGAGGAAUAUACGAAGAUUUUUCUGAUACUAGAUCUGUGUAGAGAAUUCAAAUGUUAUUGUUGUUUCAAAACUGAAUCAUUAAUUUCUGCUUAGGAAUUAGAAUCCGUUGGAGUUCAAUGUAAUUAGUAGUUUGAGCUUUCUCUGCCUUGCUAGGUACAAGUUUCCUGGAUCAAUUCUGUUU